UACGUAGGGUGCGAGCGUUGCCCGGAUUUAUUGGGCGUAAAGGGCGCGUAGGUGGCUCGGCACGUCCGUUGUGAAAUCGCUCGGCUCAACUGGGCGAGGUCAGCGGAUACGGUCGAGCUUGAGCCAGCUAGGGGGCAAUGGAAUUCCCGGUGUAGUGGUGGAAUGCGUAGAUAUCGGGAGGAACACCAGUGGCGAAGGCGGCUCACUGGCCCGAUACUGACGCUGAGGCACGAAAGCGCGGGGAGCGAACGAAGGAU
rnacentral:rRNA from 1 species